UUUUAUUUUUUUGCACACACUGCCUUUCUCUAAACAAAUGUUUAUUAUUAAGAUGGGGUUUUUCCUGUAGCACUCCCUGGGUGCAGUCCUCCCCCUCCCCCGUGUCUUUUAUGUAACAGGGUGGGGGUUGCCGAGGUAAUAGUGUUUGCAGCUUUAUACACUGUAUCUCUGCAUAGACUGCAAUAUCUUCCUCCACCAUCAUUCCACCAUUGCCAGCAGCCAAUAAGCAGCAACUCAGCCCAUCCCCCCCGUCACCUUAUACAGAGCACAGGGAAACCGGAGAGGGGUGCAACUGUGCAUGGUCACAGAAUAUCUGAAACUGACAGAUCAUCUUUUAAAAUAUAUCCGCCAUAGUUAGAGUGACCCUGCGGACAUACAUCCCAUUUAUAUUGGCGUGCAUGAUUUCCAUCUAUGUCUGUAAUGCAGCAGCCAGCUGCUCGUUUGUAAUUGGAAAAGGCUAUUAA